AGUGGACUAGCCCUGCCAGGUGUUUGGCCUCCGUCUGGUCUGUGCUUCAGGCCCCCUCUCAUUGCUCACGGUUCUUAUCCUCCUCCAUUGGACAAGCCCCCACCACUUCCAAGGCACAAGCUGCCUUCUUCUUCUCUAAUGAAUGAUAGCACGUACCGUAUCCAUUUAUGCCCAUCAAGGGCAUAACUCACAUCCUGGCUGCUGCUGAAAGGGAAUUGGCAAAUAAAAGAAACACCUGGUGGCCAGAUCCCCCCUUGCUCGGGUGUUCUGUCUCUGACCCAGCUGGGAGGCGGGCACUAGGUGGUUGCUGGGUGAGUGGACAGAUCCCUGCAUAGAGAGGAAGUCCAAGUCUGCCCCAGGAACUCAGGCUGUCUCCCCCUGAUCCCCAAUUGCCAGACUAUCUUCACAAGCAGUGUGGUCUCAUUUAAGGAGAAAAAAUGAAUCCUCCUGGGUAAGAAGUUGGGAGGACUGUGUGUUAUUAAUUCCUUGGCCACUGGCUAGCAGUGUUAGCCAGGUAAAUUAUUUCCCACAUUUUUGUUUCAUUUUUCUCCAGUUUCUGCUCUAUUCCAUCCCCGCUCAUCUGUGAAAAAUGGUGGCAGCAAACACUUCCUUAUGAGAAUGUGGUGAAAAUGGAUUAUGUGGUUGGUGCAUUUGGAAUCCCGAAAAGGAAAUGGGCUGCAAAUCCAGAUCUCAUCACAGGGAGACCAGAGAGACAGAUUCGCUGGGAUACUCGGCAGGCAACUUAAUUUACCAUUCUCAACACUCUGUUCCUGCCCCUUUCCUCUACUCUUCACCAGGAAUGCCUUUGCCCCUUUUGGGUAUGAUUUUUAGACUCUGAUUUAAAACCUUGGUUUAACCCCAGUGACUUUUACUCAGCCAGCUCCAUAGCCAUUCUGUUUAGAGUUGAGUCUAUCUGGUUGCCACAUCUUUGAUUUUACUGGUCGGCUCUAUGUAUUAGGAGUACCACAGUAGAGAGGACAUCUCCCACCUCCACCCACCCCUAAACAGAGGGGGCCAUCCAUGAGACGUGGCCUGGGGCAAAUUCUAUAGGAGCCAUGAUAUCUGCUGAUACGGAACCCUUAGGCUUCUAGCCAUCAAAGCCAUUGCAAGAUUUUUAGUUUCCAAAGACUUCACAGAGAAGAGUUGCAACACCAAGACCCCAUACUGGAUUUUACCGAUUUUGAUGAGUAUCUAAAACUAUAGCCCAUUCAGAUAUUGGAUCUAAACCCACUUAGAAUGUUGGCCAAGUGAGCUGACUUGUAUACUCAACUUAAUACAUAUAUAAUAAGGUUGCAUGAAAAUAAGUAAUUGAUGUUCUGUUUUGAUCUGUUUUGAUCAUUCAUUCAACAAAUAUGUACAGGGUUCCUACCAUGUUUAAUGACCUGGGGCAGAUUAAAAACAUCAUGCAAUGUGGCAGGUGCCCUGGAGAAGGGUUUGUAAGAUGGGCACUUCUGGAAUGACUUUGAAGGCACCAUAACGUAAUGGAUAUGAAAACAUUUUCUUAACUGUGAAGCAUUGCACAAGAUACAUCUCUUAUUUGUC
rnacentral:lncRNA from 1 species